CCUACGGGCGGCAGCAGUGAGGAAUAUUGGUCAAUGGACGCAAGUCUGAACCAGCCAUGCCGCGUGCAGGAAGACGGCUCUAUGAGUUGUAAACUGCUUUUGUACGAGGGUAAACGCAGAUACGCGUAUCUGUCUGAAAGUAUCGUACGAAUAAGGAUCGGCUAACUCCGUGCCAGCAGCCGCGGUAAUACGGAGGAUUCAAGCGUUAUCCGGAUUUAUUGGGUUUAAAGGGUGCGUAGGCGGUCGGAUAAGUUAGAGGUGAAAUCCCGAGGCUCAACUUCGGAAUUGCCUCUGAUACUGUUCGGCUGGAGAGUAGUUGCGGUAGGCGGAAGGUAUGGUGUAGCGGUGAAAUGCUUAGAGAUCAUACAGAACACCGAUUGCGAAGGCAGCUUACCAAGCUACUUCUGACGUUGAGGCACGAAAGCGUGGGGAGCAAACAGGAUUAGAUACCCUAGUAGUC
rnacentral:rRNA from 1 species